rnacentral:rRNA from 1 species
ACGUACGGCCAUAGAUACUGGAAAGCACGGGAUCCCGUCCGCUCUCCCCUAGUUAAACCAGUAAUCGGCGGAUUAGUAGUUGGGUCGGUGACGACCAGCGAAUACCCGCUGCUGUACAUU